CCGAGUUAGGGUGCUCUCUGCGCCCGACCUCCAACCCUUUGUCUACCUGACCAGAUGUUGCUUCGGCAGGCCCGCCGUCCCCUCACGGGGGUGGCCGCCGGGGGUCCUUUACCGGUCCCGGGCCCGUGCCUGUCGAUGGCCCUCUAUAAACUCUUGCUUAAAACGUGUCGUCUGAGUUUAAUAAACAAAAUAAAAACA
rnacentral:misc_RNA from 1 species